GAAGGACUCGUAGGUGACCUGCGGAGGGAUCAUUACACAAAUAUGAAGGCGGGCUGGAACCUCUCGGGGUUACAGCCUUGCUGAAUUAUUCACCCUUGUCUUUUGCGUACUUCUUGUUUCCUUGGUGGGUUCGCCCACCACUAGGACAAACAUAAACCUUUUGUAAUUGCAAUCAGCGUCAGUAACAAAUUAAUAAUUACAACUUUCAACAACGGAUCUCUUGGUUCUGGCAUCGAUGAAGAACGCAGCGAAAUGCGAUAAGUAGUGUGAAUUGCAGAAUUCAGUGAAUCAUCGAAUCUUUGAACGCACAUUGCGCCCUUUGGUAUUCCAAAGGGCAUGCCUGUUCGAGCGUCAUUUGUACCCUCAAGCUUUGCUUGGUGUUGGGCGUCUUGUCUCUAGCUUUGCUGGAGACUCGCCUUAAAGUAAUUGGCAGCCGGCCUACUGGUUUCGGAGCGCAGCACAAGUCGCACUCUCUAUCAGCAAAGGUCUAGCAUCCAUUAAGCCUUUUUUUCAACUUUUGACCUCGGAUCAGGUAGGGAUACCCGCUGAACUUAA
rnacentral:rRNA from 1 species